rnacentral:rRNA from 1 species
UACGUAGGGUGCGAGCGUUGUCCGGAAUUACUGGGCGUAAAGAGCUCGUAGGUGGUUUGUCACGUCGUCUGUGAAAUUCCGGGGCUUAACCUCGGGCGUGCAGGCGAUACGGGCAAUACUUGAGUGCUGUAGGGGAGACUGGAAUUCCUGGUGUAGCGGUGAAAUGCGCAGAUAUCAGGAGGAACACCGGUGGCGAAGGCGGCUUUCUGGCCAGUUACUGACGCUCAUGCGCGAAAGCUGGGGUAGCGAACCGGAUUAGAUACCCGGGUAGUCCCU